rnacentral:rRNA from 1 species
GGGUUCGUAUGUAGGUCUAGCGAGUCUACCUCCACCCGUGUUUACUGUACCUUAGUUGCUUCGGCGGGCCCGCCAUUCGGGGCCGCCGGGGGCUCUCAGCCCCGGGCCCGCGCCCGCCGGAGACACCACGAACUCUGUCUGAUCUAGUGAAGUCUGAGUUGAUUGUAUCGCAAUCAGUUAAAACUUUCAACAAUGGAUCUCUUGGUUCCGGCAUCGAUGAAGAACGCAGCGAAAUGCGAUAACUAGUGUGAAUUGCAUAAUUCCGUGAAUCAUCGAGUCUUUGAACGCACAUUGCGCCCCCUGGUAUUCCGGGGGGCAUGCCUGUCCGAGCGUCAUUGCUGCCCAUCAAGCACGGCUUGUGUGUUGGGUCGUCGUCCCCUCUCCGGGGGGGACGGGCCCCAAAGGCAGCGGCGGCACCGCGUCCGAUCCUCGUGCGUAUGGGGCUUUGUCACCCGCUCUGUAGGCCCGGCCAGCGCUUGUUUAACUCAAAUCAAUCUUUUUCCUGGUUGACCUCGGAUCAGGUAGGGAUACCCGCUGAACUUAAGCAUAUCAGUACGCCGGAGGAAUUUCAUCUACCGAAUAAGCCUGAAACAAGUAUGU